UGAAAAGAACAAAGUUUUGUCCAUCUUUGUUCAUCAUAGCUGAAAGUUAGAGAAGAGAAAGGAGAGGAGAAAGCUCUUGAGUAUUUGGUCAUUAGGAGGAGGAAAAUUGAAGGUAAGUUCUUGGUACCUUGCUUCUAUUUUGAGGUUCAUGAGUUUUUCUUGAUUCUACCUUAACUCUUAAAGUAUAUUUUGAUUUUUAGUUGUGUUGUAAGCAUUUAGUCAUGAAUUAAAAUGAAGGAAAUGAUUGUUGUUUCAUGUUCUUUUGAUGAAAAAUGGAAGAUAGGUGAAGUUGAGCCAAACAAAUGAGCAUGCAUGUGCCUUAGAUGCUAAAGGGAAAAAUCGGCUAACAUGUUGUGCUUUAAAAUGAUGAAAUGGAGAUUAUACUUAAGUAAAAUCAUAGAUAUGUGAUGAUUGAUUGGUGAUAUACAUGUUUAAAUAACAAGCAUGCAAGUUAGGUGUGAAAGAGUGAUUUGGUAAUAAAUCUGCUUGGGACAGCAGCAGUAACGUGACUUUGGAAAAUCACCAUAAAUUGUGGGAGAUGAGUUAGAAGCUGCAUAAAUUAUGUAAUUAAAGCUUAAUGAGUCUAGUUUCAAAUGGAAUAAACGAGAACAUAUUUUGAAUUCUGUACAAUGAUAAAUUUGAUUCGUAAUGAAGAGUGGUCAGAUUAGUCAAACAGUGAAACAUGGGAAAAUUUAAUAAAAAAUCUGGUAUUGAUUGGCCAUACCAAAAAUUCUGAAAAUUUUAUGGAUAGAAGAUAUAUGAGUCUACUUUCAGGGAAAAUUAACAGAACUUGAUUUGGAGUUUCGUAGCUCCAGUUAUAAAUAAUUUAGUGACUGUUGCUCAGGAAGACAGCUUGCAGUGAAAUUAUGAUUAUGUGGUAAACAUUGACAAAAAUUUGUUAAUGAGUUGCUUAUUGAUUUCUUAUAAGCUUACUAUGAUCUGUAGGUGUGGUUGGCCGAAUAUUGUAAGGGGUUAAUACGUAGUUUGUAUUUGAAUAGUUAGAUUAACGUGUUAGUAAUCCAAUUGUAGGCGGUUCGUGUGUGGAUCUCGUCAGCAUAUCGUCGCAAACAGGUGUGUAACUGACACCCUCUCAUAGACUAGAUUGGCAAAAGCCGAAAUGCCGAAAAGUCGGUAUUUUGGGAAUUUGCGAGUGUGCGAAUGCUCGUAAGAUAGUUGGGUUUGUAUAUUUGGUAAUCUAAAGUAAUAAACUGCAGUACGCGCGAUUUCGUACAUUUUGAUAACUUGGGCUUAAUGGGCCAAAGAUCGGUUCAUGGGCCAACGGGCCCAAUUCGGUAAGUAUGCGCGGUAAGUGUUCUGAUAGUAUGUAAAUAGUUAGGAUAUGCAUGAAAACUCUAAAAGUAGCUAAAUUACUAUAAUACCCCUAUGUAUGGAAAAUUACUGUUAUACCCCUAGGUGCAAAAUUAUCGUUAUACCCCUAGGGUUAAUUUUGACUGAAAAGCAUGACGAUCUGAUUCUGUAUGAUGUAUGCCAUGAUUAUAUAUCUGUUACAUGGGGACAUGGGUUAUAUUAUGGAGGAAGCGUCCUGGUGGCUAUGCCACGAUUAUCUGAUCUGGUGGCUCUGCCACAUAUAUCUGUUCUGGUGGCUCUGCCACGAUUAUCUGUAUCUAGUGACUCUGUCACAUUAUCUGUUCUGGCAGCCAUGCUACAAAUUCUGUGGUGUGUAGCGGUUGGGUGGGUCGAGUUGUCUCCCCACACGGUGUAAGGUUGGUACGGGGGUGUAUACGGUUGGAUAUGGUUGGGUUUCUGCAUAAACAUGUAAUAUCUGUUCUGUUCUGCUAUGGGCCUAUGGGCUUUAUUUUGAAUUCUGUUCUGGGCUAAGGCCAAUUUAUUCUAUUUCUGUGGUUUAAGCUGAUAUAGGCUAUGGUUGGGUUAAUUUACACACUGAGUUUCCCCAAACUCACCCCUUUUAUUUUCAUCCACGCAAGUAAUCCCCAACCAUAAUGGGUUUGGAGCUGUGAGGGAAUUCGGAGUGGCCACUUGUUCUGAAAGUUUGAUUUUCUUCUGGUGAACUAGACAUCCUUUUAUUUACGUUUGAAGUUUUGGGUUUUUAAAUGUAAUAAGGCCGCUUAUUUAUUUUUGAUGGUUUUUUUUAUAUGUAUUACUAAGAUAGGUAAUACUUAUUUUAACUGUUGAAAUUGGAUAGCUUUAGGGCGCGUUUUCAAAAACAACAGUUGAUUUCAA
rnacentral:lncRNA from 1 species